CCAGAGAACUACGAGCACAAACGCUUAAAACUCUAAGGACUUGGCGGUGCCCUAAACCCACCUAGAGGAGCCUGUUCUGUAAUCGAUGAUCCACGAUCAACCCUACCGYCCCUUGCCAARCACAGCCUACAUACCGCCGUCGCCMGCCCACCUCGAAUGAGAGCACAACAGUGGGCGCAACAGCACCCCGCUAAUAAGACAGGUCAAGGUAUAGCCUAUGGGGCGGAAGAAAUGGGCUACAUUCCCUAUACAUAGGGCAGCACGGAAAGAAGUAUGAAACUACUUCUGGAAGGAGGAUUUAGCAGUAAAGCGGGAUAAUAAAGCCCGCUUUAAGCCGGCCCUAGGGCACGUACACACCGCCCGUCACC
rnacentral:rRNA from 1 species